rnacentral:rRNA from 1 species
UACGUAGGUGACAAGCGUUGUCCGGAUUUACUGGGCGUAAAGAGCGCGCAGGCGGUCGAUCAAGUCGGGUGUGAAAGCCCCCGGCUCAACUGGGGAGGGGCAUUCGAUACUGAUCGACUCGAAGGCAGGAGAGGGUAGUGGAAUUCCCGGUGUAGUGGUGAAAUGCGUAGAUAUCGGGAGGAACACCAGUGGCGAAGGCGACUACCUGGCCUGUUCUUGACGCUGAGGCGCGAAAGCUAGGGGAGCAAACGGG